rnacentral:rRNA from 1 species
AUUGAACGCUGGCGGCAGGCCUAACACAUGCAAGUCGAGCGGAUGAAGGGAGCUUGCUCCUGGAUUCAGCGGCGGACGGGUGAGUAAUGCCUAGGAAUCUGCCUGGUAGUGGGGGAUAACGUCCGGAAGCGGGCGCUAAUACCGCAUACGUCCUGAGGGAGAAAGUGGGGGAUCUUCGGACCUCACGCUAUCAGAUGAGCCUAGGUCGGAUUAGCUAGUUGGUGGGGUAAAGGCCUACCAAGGCGACGAUCCGUAACUGGUCUGAGAGGAUGAUCAGUCACACUGGAACUGAGACACGGUCCAGACUUCUACGGGAGGCAGCAGUGGUGAAUAUUGGACAAUGGGCGAAAGCCUGAUACAGCCAUGCCGCGUGUGUGAAGAAGGUCGUCGGAGUGUAGCACUUUAAGUUGGGAGGAAGGGCAGUAAGUUAAUACCUUGCUGUUUUGACGGUACCAACAGAAUAAGCACCGGCUAACUUCGUG